GGUUAUUGCGAAGUGCCGUGGCUGCCGGCGGGCGCUGCGGGACUCUCUGCAAUGGGACCCGAGCAGCUCUAGAGGGAGGCGGCGGCCCCAGAAGGCCGUUGGCUGAGAGAGACCAGGAGCCCUCGGAGCCGCCGCGCGCAUAGCGCUGUGGAGCAAGAAGCCAACCGCAGCGCGGGUCGACACGCCAGUAUCUGGCACCGGCAGGAGGCGCGGAACUUAGCUGCCCCAUCGGAACCCCGCCCGGAGGAAGCUGAGGGCCGAGAAAGGAUGAAUUCCGGACCGGGUCGCCCAGCCACAAGUGGAAACCUGGGCUCUCUGGAAAACGUUCUGAUCUCGAUCUGGCUAUCUCUGAAACAAAACUCCAGCCCCGCAAACCUCCCAAAGUUCAGUACACGUCCCCGUCCUCACCCCUGCCCUCCGGGCCACCUGCAGCGGGGGACUUACCGGCGCCUCGGGUCUCCUCCUCCCGACCCAGCGCGUCGCGGACACAGCUGGCGGCCAACAGGAGGCUUGGGCGCUCGACGGCGCCGGAACCUGUGAGACCGUCGCUCUGGGCGGGCUGCCGUGCGGGGUGGCAUCCUCUGCGGUGACUUCUGCUGUCUUUUGGGUCCGCCAGGAUUCCAAAAUCCCAGGCGGGUCGCUAGAAUUAUCCAUCUUCGUGGACAGGAAGCCCCAGAACGAACCACAUCUGUCCCACUCUGCUUCCGCCCUCCUUCCCCUUCGC
rnacentral:lncRNA from 1 species